rnacentral:rRNA from 1 species
GAUGAACGCUGGCGGCGUGCCUAAUACAUGCAAGUCGAGCGAACGGACGAGAAGCUUGCUUCUCUGAUGUUAGCGGCGGACGGGUGAGUAACACGUGGAUAACCUACCUAUAAGACUGGGAUAACUUCGGGAAACCGGAGCUAAUACCGGAUAAUAUUUUUAACCGCAUGGUUCAAAAGUGAAAGACGGUCUUGCUGUCACUUAUAGAUGGAUCCGCGCUGCAUUAGCUAGUUGGUAAGGUAACGGCUUACCAAGGCAACGAUGCAUAGCCGACCUGAGAGGGUGAUCGGCCACACUGGAACUGAGACACGGUCCAGACUCCUACGGGAGGCAGCAGUAGGGAAUCUUCCGCAAAGGGCGAAAGCCUGACGGAGCAACGCCGCGUGAGUGAUGAAGGUCUUCGGAUCGUAAAACUCUGUUAUUAGGGAAGAACAUAUGUGUAAGUAACUGUGCACAUCUUGACGGUACCUAAUCAGAAAGCCACGGCUAACUACGUG